GGGAUCUAAGAGGGAAGGAAACAGGUCAUACAGUGGGGGUAUGGGGGUGAGGAAAUCAGCCCAGAGCACAGCUGCUUCCCAGGUGGGACACACCCCCAUCAGUUCUUAAAGACCUACCAUAACAAUGGUGACCUGCAGAAAACAGUCACAAGAGAUGAAAGCUUUUCAUUUUGAAGCUGUAGUGGCUCUCCAUAGCCUCGUACUACCCAGAACCAUCCUGUGCUGCUUGAAGGGCACUUCCAUCAACUUGUUUCUCAAUUCUAGAAUGUUGCCAUUUUAAAAGGACAUUUGCAAUAGAUCUCUCAAUUGCCUCAGAGAAUGGGGACCUAUUGGGCACCAAUCUGUUGUUUUCACACACAUUCGCUUAGUGCUGGCUCCACCUCUCCCUAAAUCACCUUCCCCACAACCAUACCAUCACUCUCACUUACAGCACCAGGAACCAAUACACAAUACUACCCAAAACUAUCAAAGAUUUAAUUUUAAGCUCAAAAAUGGUUUCAGGGGGUGGCAGAGUUGCUAAUGCUGCAGGACCUAAGCUAAUGAUACUUGAACUUUAAUGUGCACACAAACCUCCUAAAAAUUUUUACUAAGAUUAUAUAGUUCUGGAGUGAUGAGUGCUUGCCUUUGUAACAACCACAUGGGUG
rnacentral:lncRNA from 1 species